rnacentral:rRNA from 1 species
GAUGAACGCUGGCGGCGUGCCUAACACAUGCAAGUCGAGCGAUUCUCUUCGGAGAAGAGCGGCGGACGGGUGAGUAACGCGUGGGUAACCUGCCCUGUACACACGGAUAACAUACCGAAAGGUAUGCUAAUACGAGAUAAUAUGCUUUUAUCGCAUGGUAGAAGUAUCAAAGCUCAGGCGGUACAGGAUGGACCCGCGUCUGAUAAGCUAGUUGGUAAGGUAACGGUCUACCAAGGCGACGAGCAGGAGCCGACCUGAGAGGGUGAUCGGCCACAUUGGAACUGAGACACGGUCCAAACUCCUACGGGAGGCAGCAGUGGGGAAUAUUGCACAAUGGGCGAAAGCCUGAUGCAGCAACGCCGCGUGAGCGAUGAAGGCCUUCGGGUCGUAAAGCUCUGUCCUCAAGGAAGAUAAUGACGGUACUUGAGGAGGAAGCCCCGGCUAACUACGUGCCAGCCGCCGCCGUAA